UACGUAGGGGGCUAGCGUUAUCCGGAAUUACUGGGUGUAAAGGGAGCGUAGACGGUAAUGUAAGUCUGGAGUGAAAGGCGGGGGCCCAACCCCCGGACUGCUCUGGAAACUAUGUUACUAGAGUGCAUGAGAGGUAAGCGGAAUUCCUAGUGUAGCGGUGAAAUGCGUAGAUAUUAGGAGGAACACCAGUGGUGAAGGCGGCUUACUGGACGGCAACUGACGCUGAGGCUCGAAAGCGUGGGGAGCAAACAGG
rnacentral:rRNA from 1 species